rnacentral:lncRNA from 13 species
GCUGAGGUGAGAAGAUCACUUGAAGCAGGGAGGUUGAGUCUGCAGGGAGCCAUGAUUGUGCCACUGCACUCUAGCCUGGGCAAUGGAGCAAGACUUUGUUUCAAAAAAAGGUAGAAUAAAACAAAAAAGGAAAAGCAUCCUAUGACGUGUGCUGGGGACACAAAAGCUUACAGGAUCUAACCCUGUUGCUGUGGACUGAAUGCUUAUGUUCCAUCAAAACUCAUAUCUUGAAGCCUCAUGCACAAUGUGAUAGUUGAAGGUCAGUAGAUCACGAGGGUGGAACCCCCAUUAAUGGGAUUUAUGUCCUUAUAAAAAGAGGAAGAAACAUGGGAGUUUUCUCUUUGCUGUCUGCCCUGUGAGGAUACAAAAUGAAGACAGAUUUCUGCAAACAAAGAAGUGGGCUUUUACCAUACAGGAAAUCUGAUAGUGCCUUGAUCUUGGACUCUCCAGCUUCCAGAGUUGUGAGAGAUAAAUAUUUGCUGUUUAAGCCACCCAGACUUAAGUAACAGUCAUUUAUUACGGCAACCUGAACUAAGAUACCUGGCCUCAAAGAGGCUCCAAAACUGAAAGACAAAGGCAAGAGUAACAGCAAUUAGGACUGCCCCAACAAACAGCAGUUCCACAGCUUCAGAGGAAGAAAAAGAGCACUUCUGGCCAGCGUGAUCAAGCACCUGAAGUGAGAUAUAUAAGGUGGGAUGCCUCAUGGCAGGAUGUGGCCACAUCAGCCGUCAGGGAGCCUCUCUCAGCCUGACACUGUAUAUAGCACAGAGCUGUGAACAGAAGGCCUGUGUUGUCUCUGCACUGAACUGCCAGACGCGCCCCCUCUUAUCGAUGAGUUCUCUACCUGGCCAGUUCUCUACCUGGACAUUGCCUUUUACUGUAUGUGCGAUGACAAAGAAAAGGGAAGAUGGAGCCUCCACGUUGAACACACCUGGCCCCCAGGUAGCCCUUUUCUAUUGGCA